UUCACGUAAACCUUGAUUUGUUUCUAAAGUGACUUUUUUUAAAAAGGUAAUACCAGAUAAUUUUAUAGUGAAGAAUGAGAGAUAAAAGGAAAACAAGAUGAGAAAAAACGUCGGUAGGAGUAAGGUGUAAACCAGGACAUCAGACACCAAAGAGGAAUCUUUGUUUCUAAAAAAUAGUGUCCAGUAUGUGAACCGCAGCCUGGCUGACAGCUGUGUUGUCAUGACAGCCACCAGUUUCGGAAGACUGUUACGUCUUGCAUUUCUGUGUGUGCCACAGGCAUCCUGCUGAAGCCCAGUUCAAGAAAUGCAUGCAGCAGGUGGAGGGGCCAGAAGGACUACAGCUUUGAGUUCCACCUCUGCUGCUCAUGUAAGCAAGGGAAUGCUUUAAGAUGACCAUUAAAUCUAAACCCUAAGUGACAGACCCAGGUGUUGGACUCUGAGCUCAUUUCUGUAUACUUUGUCCUGUGGCCAUUAACUGUAGGCUCUAUUGCCAGAAGUCAACACUCAUUGACCAUUUUCAAGUACAACUUUGUAGACUAUUUCCAGUAGUUUUUUGUUGAAAACCAUUUCUUGUAGCAAGUGUCAAAUGGUAAUUCUUGUGAAGUAUUUGAAAGUAUUGAUACUGCAUUUGGUUUAAGGAGAAAUUAGAAGUGAUCAGAACAGUGGUUCUCAAAACUUGUGGGAUUUGCUCUCACCUGGAGAACUUUUUAAAAGGUAAGUUUCUGAUUUGGUCCACCUAGCACAUAGGGCCCAAGUAUAUGCAUUCUGACAAGUUCCCAGCUGAUGAUGCUUUUGCCUUGACCACUGCACUAGGAGGAUUCCCUUCUGUUGAUUUGCUGUCCUUUGGUACUCCAAACUAGAACCUGAUUGGAUGGCCAAGAAGUCAGGCCUGUGCAUCUUGUUAAAGUGAAGACCUUAACACCAGCGGCAGGCAGCAGCUGUGCUGUUUCGCUGUAGAUAAUUUGAGGAGGCCCCUAAGGCUGGGCGUUAAUCUGCUCAGUGCUUCUCCCACACAGGUAAGGCAAGCUUUGAAUAGGUACCAGAAACCAUUGUUUCCUGUCCUUGAGCAUUUGCUUUUGAAGGAAGGGUUUUAAUUGCUGAUUCUGCAAGUGUUCUGUGUAUAUUUAGUAUAAAAGUAAAAAAACUUAGUCGUUGUUUUAUUAAGUUUGUGAAAACAAAACACCAAAUUUGAACCAACAUACAACAUAUAGCAAAAAGUACACGAAAACAUCUUUGAAAGAAAGAAACAGAUAGGUUUCUAGACCAGUCCCAGACUGCCCGUGGCUGAGCUUUCUCCGUCUUAACUUGGGUUGGCUGUAAACUUGAAGGAUGGGUUGGAUCAAUGUUCGCACAGGUCUCACUGUUUUUCCUAGCCAGGUGUCUACUGUUAUUUAAUGUUUGUCUUUAGACUGCUUCCAGUUUUUGUUUUUUUGUUGCUGUUUUAUUGCCAACAAAGCUGCAAGGAAUGUCUUUGUGCAUUUAUCUUCACGUACUUGUGUUUCCUUAGGAUAAAUUUUAAGAGGUAGAAUUACUGUGUCAAAGUGAUGUAAGGGUAGAUAGAUAGUACCAAUUUGCCUCCAAAAUAUUGUAGUUAUCUACUCCAACCAGUGUUGAGAGGAAACUCCUAUUUCGGGAACUGUCUCAUAAUUGUCAUUUUAUUAGCAUUUACCCCAGCCCCUAACUUGCUAACAGUGUUGCACAUAGUCAUUAACUUUUUAGAAAUAUUAAUGUGAAUUAAGUGGUUUUAAACUGGAUAAUUUCCACUUUCUACUUCUUAAAAUUCUACAGUCAAGAUGUACAGGAUUGUUCCAGCUUAUCAGUACAGAACUGAAAUCAUUCAAGUUCACACACUCCCACCCAGCCUUGUGCUACUAAUUUGUGAAUGGAAAGAUACUCCUCCUUCAACACACUAUACCACCAGGUGCCAGAAACUUGUGAACUAUAAAUCAACGACUAGGCAAUGACUGCCCCCAUGCCAGGUUUGUGCAAAGAACUCGCAUAAUUGUAAGCACAGCCCUGCGCUGCUUCUGUGGUUCUUAAUUAUGGUCUACUAUCAUUGGAAAAUACAAAGUAGUAAUCCUAAAAUGAUAAUUAACAUUUAUUGAGCACUUAUGUGUCAGGUACUGUUGACUUUCAGUCUAACUACCCUUUCUAACAAACACUACUAUGCUGACUUUACCCAAGAGGAAACUGAUGCACAGAGAGGUCAAGGAAUCUUGUCAGUGCCAUUCAAAUCAUUCAGAAUGCCUCUAAUGCCAGUACUGUAUUCUGAAAAGUGCAAGCUACUCUAUGUUGAAACUUUUGUGUGUGUGUGUGAGGAAGAGUGACCCUAAGCUAACAUCUGUGCCAAUCCUCCUCUACUUAGUAUAUGGGAUGCUGCCUCAGCUUGGCUUGAUGAACAGUGUGUAGGUUCAUGCCUGGGAUCUGAACCUGCAAACCCCGGGGCUGCCAGAGUGGAGUGUGUGAAUUUAACCACUAGGCCAGCUCCUGGAACAUUUCUUAAUAGCAUAAUAAAGAUAAUUGGAACCUUGUGGAAACAUGUGUUGGGUAUAUGGAUAUUCAUCCUAUUAUUUUCUCUAUGUGCUUGAAAAGAUCUUAUUUAAGUCUUAUUUUUUAAAGUAAUAACAUGCUAUUUUUAACUCUGAGUUCUUUAUCUCUGAAAACUAAGUUAAAGCUUGACAACAUUCUUGGUCAACCAGCAUUUGGGGACCCCACUCUGGGCCAGGAGAACUCAAGGAAGCAGAAGCUGCCGCAGCUGCAGCCCUCAGGGAGUUCACGAGGUGGGGCUCAAAGCUCAGCUCCUGAUGCAGGAGGUCCUGUUCUCGGAGUCCUUUCUUGCUUGAGGAAGGGGGAAUGCGGGGAUGCACCAAGCGGGGAUCCCCAUAGGAGAUAAGCAGUACGGAAAUGAUGAAGACAAAAGUGCAAAGUGGAAUUUGAGUUUAUGGGGGAGAAAUCUCUCUCCCUUGCUCUCUUAACCACAAGAUACCACACAGUGAAGAAAACAAGAAACAGUAGCAGAGAAAUACCCAUUGGCAGAUUAACAGAGUUGUAAGUACAGCUGCAUCCUGUUGUACCCCACAUCCCCACCCUAAAACUCUUGUCCAGCCUCCUUUGAGCUUGGGUAAUUUGAUCCUCACCUGGAGAGCCACUCUAGGCCAUAGAAGCAUAGGGAAGCUGUCAUGUGGUUCUUGGGGCCACCAAACCUCCCGCCUUACUAACCUGAGCCAAGAAGCAGAGAAGGCCUUGGUUUCUAGCAGGGAUAAAUGUGCCUGACUCCAGGAAAAGACUUGCUCAGACCACAAAUGCAUCUAUUUAUAUCUCGUAAUCUGCUGGGCCAGCAACAUGCUAAUAACCAGCUGGGCAUGAUGGAGAGGCCACAGGCCAACUGUCAGAAUGGCGAGAGCCCUGCACUCAUGGUCAGAGAAAAUAACAGACGUGGAAGCGCUGCAUCAGCCAAAAAGCGGCAUAUGAAGUAUUCCAGCUGUUGUUACUGUGAGCUGGUUUCACCACCUACUGGUUCAUGUCCUUGGACAAGUCAACCUGUCUGAGCCUCAGUUUCUUCAUCUAUAAAAUGGAAACAGUAACUCUCUGUUUAUCUUAUAGGGCUCUUGGAAACUCAGAUGACAUAAUUUAUGCAAAAAUUCCCUGUAAACUGAGCAAAUGUAAAGUAGUAUUACUGAUAUCUGUUCUACUUAAAAACAGGACGAGCAAAGAGUGAUGGAUUCCAGGGCAGAAGUCAGUGGAGAGGUGAGGGAACCUUCUUCAGUAGCCGCCAGCCAGCCGUUUGCCAGACCCACUUUCCCUCAUUUCUGGGCACGCAGCUGGACUGUAUUCCCCAGCCUUUCUUGCAGUUAGCUGUGGCCAUGGAGCAGUUCCAGCCAAUGGAACAGUAGCGGCAGUAAUGUACAUCACUUGGAGGCCUGGUCGGUAAAAGUCCACCACUGCACUCCUCGGUGCCCUAACACACACAUGCACACACACACCCCCCCAGCUGCUGGCUCCAUACAAACACUGUAACCUUGGAAGCCGGGCCUCAAGAUAGAGAUGCUACAAGGUGAUAGGACCCUGGGGCCCUGACUCACCAGUGGCUUGGAGCACAGCUACCCACUGAUCAGGAACAUCCUUUUUGGAUUUUAUAGAGGAAGAAAUAAAUUUUUGUUAUGUUUGGGCUGUUAUAUUAGCUUGAAUCAUAUGAAAUUGACAAUAUUUGUACUAUUUUUGACCCAUAAAAGUGAUAAUUUCAUAUGAUUCAACCUAAUAGAUAUUUUGAUUUGUUUCAGCAGCUGGUGUAACCUUGGACACCAUCCUAGAGGAAGUCUUGGUAACAGCCACAUUUUCAAAGAGAUCAUGAGGAGUGCAUGAUUUUGUUAGCCUUGUGGUUUCACCAGCGUGAUCACCAGGCCUUUUCUGGGAAAGAACACAGUGGGAAGUGGAAACUGUAAAUGGACACGCUCCUUGGGAGUCCUCAGGCCCCCCUGUCAGCCCCUGACUAGUCUUCACACUUCAGGCUAGGAAAUCACCCCACGGUUUUGAAGGUAUUGAGGUCUCGUCCCUAUUUUAUAGCAGAACGAGAAUCAGAGCAGGAUUAUGACAGAAUUCUAACUCCAGCUUCCACCUGUUUAAUAUAUCAGAGAAACGUGAUGUUGGUGAAAUGCCAGAUUGGAAACCAAAGGCUUGUGGUAAGUAUAAGUCAGUGCAAAUGGUCUGAUUUGAUUGGAAAUGAUCUUGUAAUAAUUUGAGAGAACGCACACACAGAUAUUAAGAUUCUGCUGUUCAUUCUCUGCCUGCUCUGGGCGUGCUUUUCUCUUUCUCCUGGUCUUCCUAAGAGCUUUCUUCCAUCUCUUGUCAAUUCUUAGGCUUGGGUUCUCUUUCCUUUUCCCAAAUCACAGAUGUUUUCCCACCCUGUGAAAUCUAGUGACUGGCUCGCCAGAGCAUUACUGCAAUUGUGUUUUUCAGAAGGAAAUCCUUUUUUUAACUGCCAGGAAUUCCAGGCUCCAAACUGGAUGGGAGGGAGGAUGUUGUGGCAUAGUGCCAGGUAACUGCCUCCUUUUCCCUUCAGCCAUGUGAAGGCGACUGGCUGGAGCCCAAGCAUAGAACCACAGCCUCCCAGGGCUGAAGGGACAGCCUUUCAGGGAACCCAGGAGGUUGAGUCCAGUCAUUUCUCGUUCACAUAGACAGGACCUCUUUUAAACCACAGCCUAGCCUCACUUUAAUGCCUUCCAAAAGGAAAAAUCAUAUAGACGCCAUUGAACACAUAUCCCAAUGUUAAAAACAGUAUCAUAAAACCUUUUCUUUCGUCUAAACCAGAGUUUGGCAAACUUUCUCUGCAAAAGACCAGUAAAUGUUUUAGGCUUCACAGACCAUAUGCUCUCUAUUGCAACUACUUAACUCUGCCAGCCUGUGCAAAACCAGCCACACACAGGACCUGGGUCCAACAAAUGAGCAUGGCCGUGUUCCAAGAAAAUUUUUGUUUGUUUGUUUUCUUUUAGUGAGGAAGAUUGUCCCUGAGCUAAUGUCUGUGCCAAUCUUCCUCUAUUUUGUAAGUGGGAUGCUGCCACAGCAUGGCUUGAUGAGCGGUAUGUA